rnacentral:lncRNA from 1 species
CUCACAUGCUGAGCUGACCAUCAUUGUAUUUGCUUCAUGUGUUUACAAUUUUACAAGUAACUCCACCUACUUGUUAAAGCUAUAAUUUGUGCAUUUGCAGAUGUUGAGCUCACAAGUUCAUGCAUUCAAGCUAUCUUCUUUGGUACCACUCUGAAGAUAACAUUAAGUGCGUAGUGGGAAUUAACUUGAAUAAAUCUAGGCAUUGUUGAGCUAAUUUGCCUAUGAUUGAUCCUCUAAUAAAGGCAUCCAUCAGAGAUUUCGAAAGUGGUGAAAAUCCAGUGUAAAAAUAUUGCACUUGAUUUCCAUUGAUAAUCCCUUGAUUUUGGCACUUUCUCAUAAGCUCCUUAAAUCUGUUUCACGGCUCAUGAUAGCCUUCCCCAUCUCUUUGUUGGAAGUUUAAAUGCCCAAUCUGAUUUUUGCUACCUUACCGAUGAAAAGAAUUUGUUGCAGAAUUUUCUAAUCAGUUCUUCCCAUGUGGAAUUGCUUCCAUUGGGUUCGACAUCUAGCUAUUCCAAUGCAACAUCUCUCAGUUUAUAUGGAAAUAACCUCCACUUGAUCGCACCCUCAUUAACCCGUGAAGCAUGACAAUUCUACAAUUCCUGAUAAAUCUAGAAAUAUAUGUGUUCGGAUUCUGAUGAGGUCGCCUAUAGAACUGUAGAGUAUUGCUCAUCAAAUCGAUCCAAUUUGCCUUUAUCUAGAAAUUGUUCACCCCAAAACCUAGAUACACUAUGCUGGAACGUGCGAGGUCUGCUAUAGGCUUCAUGAACAGUGAAAAUGGCCAAUCUUCUUCAUUUAUGUCCCCUCACUCUUACUAAUGAUCUUUUACAGCCGUUUGUCCAAUUCGUUGUGUAGGAAUAUGAUAAGAUUGUUUAGAUUGUGAGUCAUUUGAUGUUGUUUUUUUGUUUGCAUUACUUGCGUCUUCAUUUGAAGGUAC